rnacentral:ncRNA from 1 species
AAUAUUCACAAGGGGAGUUCAUUCGGACUGAGAUUAGCGUAUGCUUAGACCCUCAACACCAGAACAAGAUAAUGCUUGCGUUGGGAUGUGGUCAAUUCGUUUU